rnacentral:rRNA from 1 species
UACGUAGGUGGCAAGCGUUAUCCGGAAUUACUGGGCGUAAAGCGCACGCAGGCGGUCUUUUAAGUUUGACGUGAAAGCUCCCGGCUUAACUGGGAGAGGUCGUUGAAUACUGGAAGACUUGAGGAAAUGAGAGGGGUGUAGAAUUCCUGGUGUAGUGGUGGAAUGCGUAGAUAUCAGGAGGAAUACCAGUGGCGAAAGCGGCACCCUAGCAAUUUUUCUGACGCUCAUGUGCGAAAGCGUGGGGAGCGAACGGG